UUGGUUGCAGGCGGCGUGGCCGUAGGCGAAGGCGUUCAUGUAGGGAGAGAUGUUGCGGAGAUCGUAGCUGCGGCGCGACGGCGUGGCACUCUCCAGUUGGGCGAGGACGUAGGCCAAGCUGAUGGUGAAAGGGUCGGAGUUGCAGAGCACGCUUUUCACAGCGGUGUUGGGUUUGCCGGUGGAGAUUCGACAGAGGGAGAGCAGCAGAAUUAAUGCGAGAAUUUGAGUAAUAGG
rnacentral:lncRNA from 1 species